UACGGAGGGUGCAAGCGUUAUCCGGAUUCACUGGGUUUAAAGGGUGCGUAGGUGGGUCUGUAAGUCAGUGGUGAAAUCUCCGAGCUUAACUCGGAAACUGCCAUUGAUACUAUAGGUCUUGAAUCAUCUGGAGGUAAGCGGAAUAUGUCAUGUAGCGGUGAAAUGCUUAGAUAUGACAUAGAACACCAAUUGCGAAGGCAGCUUACUACGGGUGUAUUGACACUGAGGCACGAAAGCGUGGGGAUCAAACAGG
rnacentral:rRNA from 1 species